CCUACGGGUGACAGCAGUGAGGAAUAUUGGUCAAUGGACGAGAGUCUGAACCAGCCAAGCAGCGUGAAGGAUGACUGCCCUAUGGGUUGUAAACUUCUUUUAUAUGGGAAUAAAAUGUUCCACGUGUGGGAUUUUGUAUGUACCAUAUGAAUAAGGAUCGGCUAACUCCGUGCCAGCAGCCGCGGUAAUACGGAGGAUCCGAGCGUUAUCCGGAUUUAUUGGGUUUAAAGGGUGCGUAGGUGGAUUGUUAAGUCAGUUGUGAAAGUUUGCGGCUCAACCGUAAAAUUGCAGUUGAAACUGGCAGACUUGAGUACAGUAGAGGUGGGCGGAAUGCAUGGUGUAGCGGUGAAAUGCUUAGAUAUCACGAAGAACUCCGAUUGCGAAGGCAGCUCACUAGACUGCAACUGACACUGAGGCUCGAAAGUGUGGGUAGCAAACAGGAUUAGAUACCCGUGUAGUC
rnacentral:rRNA from 1 species